AAGACUAUAGACCUGCGGAGUACCUGCGGAGGGAUCAUUAGUGAAUUUUGGGCACUCUAACCGAGGCCCAACCUCCACAAUCCCAAACACUGUGCACUUUAUUUUGGCGAGCUUCGUAAUUGAAACUUGCCUUCAUUUUUUAACACUAGUCAAAGAAUGUAAAUAAAAUCAUAACAAAAAAAAACUUUUAACAAUGGAUCUCU
rnacentral:misc_RNA from 1 species